rnacentral:rRNA from 1 species
AUACGUAGGUGGCAAGCGUUGUCCGGAUUUACUGGGUGUAAAGGGCGUGUAGCCGGGCCGACAAGUCAGAUGUGAAAUCCGCGGGCUUAACCCGCGAACUGCAUUUGAAACUGUUGGUCUUGAGUAUCGGAGAGGUCAUCGGAAUUCCUAGUGUAGCGGUGAAAUGCGUAGAUAUUAGGAAGAACACCAGUGGCGAAGGCGGAUGACUGGACGACAACUGACGGUGAGGCGCGAAAGCGUGGGGAGC